rnacentral:rRNA from 1 species
UACAGAGGGGGCAAGCGUUGUUCGGAAUUACUGGGCGUAAAGGGCGCGUAGGCGGCCUUCUAAGUCGAACGUGAAAUCCCUGGGCUCAACCCAGGAACUGCGUCCGAGACUGGGAGGCUAGAAUCCGGGAGAGGGAUGUGGAAUUCCAGGUGUAGCGGUGAAAUGCGUAGAUAUCAGGAGGAACACCUGUGGUGUAGACGGCUCUCUGGACCGCAACUGACGCUGAGACACGAAAGCGUGGGUAGCAAACAGGAUUAGAAACCCCUGUAGUCCAAGCAACAACGUCCUCGUGCUAACCCGGUAA